AUGGGAGAAAGAGGAACGUUUCCUGUUGACCGACCUCUAAUUGGGUUCAGCAGAGCCUCGACAGCUUUAAGCUGCUUCCACAGGUCACGUGACUACUGUGUGUACACACUGGCCAGGCAUCCUUCAACAACAACAGCGGGGUUAUUAAUUCCUCUUCCUGUGAGGCUCCUAAUCCUGUCAUUUAUCUCAGGCGCUGGGCAGUGCAAGAUAACUGGCGAUCUGGCGCUGUGCCAAGAGCAUGCCUCUCGGGUGCCCACCUGGGACAUGCGGACGGCACAAACAGUCUACACCGCUGGGAGAGAAUGAGUACAUCAGCUAAAAUGGCACAUCUCCCAUUCUGCCAUUCACUGGGCCGCACGUGUUAAUUGCCUUCUUCUCAGUCAGGUUGUGAUUUCAUUUUAAACGGAAUUAAAGCUAAUAAGGGGUUCAAAUUAAGGGGGUUUGAGCUGGUGGGAUAUAAUUCUUAAUUUGAGCUCUUAGAAGAGCAGAUAAUGGUGAAAGGUUGGUUUUGUAUUUGUACUUUAAAGUCACUGGAUUCUCUCUGAAUUGACAGGGAACCAAAGGGACUGAGGAGUAAAUUAAAAAAGUGUGAAUUAGUCACUGGUGCACUGAAUUGUGAAUUAUGAUUAAAUAAACACAAAGUGAUUUCAUCUGCUUAUUGUGACUGUUUCUUUUGGAAAGAGAAUCCAAACUAGGACAAUCUCACUGCUAGAGUUUGAGUAAAUACUUUAAAGGGCAGACGGAUAGGGCAAAGAACUAAGAGAGGAAGAAAUAUCUUUUGUUUCAGGCUAAUUUAAAGUUGCCCUUGAUAACAUUUGAACUCUGACAUAAUUUUUAUUAAAAACAACUUAAUGCAGUGUAAGGUAACCUGAGAUAUAAUAUGACUGGAAGGUUUUUAACAUUUAUACAAGAACCAAAAAUUAAAAAUCAAUAAAUACCAACAGAAAAUGGUUCUAGUUUAGUCUUGCUGCAUACUGCCUUCAUAGUAUCUCCGCAUACUGCCUACAUACAGUAGGCGUCUUUAAUAAGCAUUGUAAUACUAUGAGAAAAGGUAACUUCUGUAUAACCAAAAUGACACAGAGGAUAUCAUUGGAAUCACAUUGAGAACUUAUAACUAUUCUUUUUAACAGCUGAUGAACAAUAAAAACAUUUACAGCCAGCCAACUCUGAAAAAAUCGAGUAAGUGGCAGACAAUCUAACUGCAGCUAGCACUGGUGUGGACACUAAUAAAGGUAUAACUAUCUUCACAAUCUCCUAUUGUGAAAUAUUACAAUUUAAAAUAAUUGCUUUCUAUAUGAAUGUAUUUUAAAAUGUCAUUUAUUCUUGUGAGACAAAGCUGUAUUUUCAGCAGCCAUUAUUCCAGUCUUGUUUUAUAUGAUCUUUCUGAAAUCAUUCUAUGCUGAUUUGCUGCGAAAAAAUAUAUAUUUCCUCUUAUUAUUAUUUUUUUUUUAUUAUCAAUGUUGAAGUUGUGCUGCUUAAUUUUUUAUGUUUAUGUUUUUUUUUCAGGAUUCUUUGAUAAGUAGAAAGUAAAAAAAAAGCAUUUAUUUUAAAUAUAAAUCUUUUGUAACAUUAUAUGGUACAUUUCUGUGCUUUCACUUUUCAUGAAUUUAGGUAGGCUAUAUAUAUUGCAGGAACUUUUGUGGCACAAUCAGUGCUCUGCUUGUGAAAUUUGACUCAACAUAAUUUGGCAUUAACAUGUUGCUAUGAUAACAGCGCUAAGCAUUAAAACUAAAUAAAUAAAUAAACAAACACAUUUUAAUUACACAUAUUUUUUUUUAUUAAUAGCAAAUUGACAUUUUUCACACCUCAUCUGCCCUCCUGGAUUUAAUUUUUCACUGAAUGCAAUGCAUCCUGGGAUUGCAAGAAAACAUCUCACAGGCACCAUCUUUAAACAGCCUAUAUUGCUAAGAACUACCUUCAUAUCGGAAGAGCAUAUAUCUGUUUCCUCUAUGUUCCACAUAAACUGCUUAGCCUAUGUUAAAAACAACUUCAUAGCCUGUCAAUCCCAAUUUGACACAAAACGGUAACAAAUGAGCAGGUAAACCCAUCACGUCAUGUGGAGGGGUUUAACGGUGAGCCUAAAUAUCCUGUACCAGAGCACCUCUUGAUGAAGCACAUCACUCAGAGCCAGUGGAUGACCUCUCCACUACUGCCACUGUGGCCCACUGGCCCAUGAAGGAUGUGUCACCACAAACAACAAAUUGAGAUUUAAUGCUUUUAAUUUCCAAUUCUCUGCUCUCCAGUCAAUGGCUUUAGUCCCUCUUGUCUCACACAGAGAAGUUUAUAAAGAGAUUGCUGCAGGAAAUGAGAGCAGGUUUUUUGUAGUUGAGCAUGUGCUAGGGGAUUUAAAAGACAAACACUGAUGGUUUGGCCAGUGAAACGGCUGUGUUAUUGGCUGAUGUUGAGGCAAAACCCUGUUUAGACAAACCAAGGGGUCAAGGCUGGCUAACAUGUUGCUAUAGAUGCUGUAACUAUGCCAUUUGGUUCCAACCGGACAGAGGUAUAUAUAAUUAAAUUAAUAAGCUGUAAGAUUUUUUCUUCUUCUUUCUUUUCAAAGUAUGAGAAAGACGUUAGAUUUUGUAUUUUAUUUUUUAAAAAAAAAAUUUUUUUUGGGGGGGGGGGCAUCAGCCGAGUACCUGUUACUGAAAUUAAUGUGAAUGUUAAAGCAUAUCUUUCUAGUAUUAUAGACCUCCUUGAGAUGGAGUACAAAGUGUGUCUUGGUGUGCAACUAACAAAUAUGAAAUAUUCAUUUUGCCAUUAUAAAUGUAUCAUGGCAUAACAAUGUUUAUACUUCAUAUAACAUGUUUAAUACAUGCUUAAAAAAACAGCUCUAAUGCGUCUGCAUAAUCACAGGAGAAAGUCAGUUCACAUUACAAGAAAUAAAAAUGAAACAUAUUACAAUACAAAAGUUUGGGGACAGUAAGAUUUGUUUUAAUGUUUUUGAAGUCUUGUAUGCUCAACAGUGCUGUAUUUAUCUGAUAGAAAAAAUAUAGUUGUACAGUAAUACUGUGAAAUAUUAUCAGUUAAAUUAAUUAUUUUCUAUUUGAAAAUAUUUUAAAAUUUCAUUUUUUUCCUGUGAUGCAAAGCUGAAUUUUCAGCAGUCAUUACUCCAGUCUUCAGUGUCACGUGAUCCUUCAGAAAUCAUUUUAAUACGCUGAUUUGCCACUCAAGAAACAUUUCUUAUUAUUAUCAGAGUUGAAAACAGUUGUGCUGCUUCAGAUUUUUGUGGAAACCAUAGUACUUUUUUCAGGAUUCUUUGGUGUUCAAAAGAACAGCGUUUAUUUGAAACUAUGUAAACACCUUUACAAUCACUUUUGAUCAGUAUGUUCUUGCCGAAUAACAGAAUAAAAAAUGAAUGAAACAGUCAAAUAGUAUAACAAUUUUUUACAAACUUCUAACGUCUGAAUGGAAAGAACAACAAUAAUCCUGUACAUGGAUAAAUGUCAAGAGAUUUAAUUAACCAGGCAAUACUGGAAACUAUUUUUGUGUGGGUAAUAAUUUACUUAUUCCCAUUGAAAAAUGAAUAAGAAAACAUAGUUACACAUGCAUUUAGGUUACAAGGAAUUAACUUGUAAAAACAUGCAGUAACAGAGGAAUUCAGUUGGGCUACCAAUAUAAUAGUAUUUACUAAUUAAGCAUAGCCUACUUUUAUAUGCUUUCAUAUUCAAAUAAUCAAGAGAUUAAUCUCUCCAUAUGGUUUCAUAUAAAAUGUCAGCAGUUUCCUUGGCACCCUUAAUUCCUCUAAUAUUCCUGGUAGAUAACAAAGGAAAAGCUACAGUAGCUCCAGCUACUGAACAAGAAAAUGUAAAACUCAUAAAAAGUUAAGCAAAAAGUUCAGAUUGGUUUUUAUAUAACCUCUACACACUGUAGUCGAGUGAGAACUGUGUUGGUGAGAGAAGCCUGCUUACUGGAGGCCUCAUAUUGAACAGAAGGUGCCGUCUCACACUCCAGGCCAUUCACACACGCUCUUUACAGUGCGAGUGAAAUAUUAACAGCUCUCCCCUUCUGUAAGUAAUCUAACUCUGCUGCUGGGCCACAAGGUAAGGUUCAGGGUGCGUCUGGAGAGACUGCUGUGCUGAUAAACCUCAUUUACAUAUUUGAAGGAGAAAACUACUUAGAUAAUUGUAUGAAACGACAUUUAAUUACCAUAAACACAAGAUUAAUUAUCGUAGUUAUCAUUUCAGCUCUAAUUCAUACUUACAAGGGCACUGUUUAUCCAUGUGUCUGAUAUUUUUAUGUAUAAGGAAAUAUAAUUUUAGUACAGGAAUUUGACAGAUUUAUGGGUCAUGCCAACUUAAUUAAUUCAAUGCACAAAUGGGGGAAAAAGGAAAGGGGAAUUUAAAAGAAAUGUUAAAAAUGUGCAUGGUUGCCAGACAGAUUUACACCUUGGCCACGUAUCACAAUAUCUUCAAUCAAACAGAGUCCCAGAUUCUACUCCAAUAGACAGACAAGGAAUGCAGCCAAGACUGCCACUAUCCCAGAUGGAGACUAGUGUUAUGAAUAAUGAGUAAAGGAAAGCUAGGCUUCAGAUUUCUGUUUUCAAACUUUAAGCAAGCCACUGAUUAGCACAGCUCAUCUAUAAUGUAAUAUAUAUACCUGCAUUUACAAAUAGGAAACAAACCUGUUGGGAUAUCCCAAAGCAA
ensembl:lncRNA